GUUAGGGUGGCAGAGUCAAGUAUUGCAAAAGGCCUAAAACCUUUACAACAGAAGUGCAAAUCUUCUUCCUAACC
rnacentral:tRNA from 1 species